UACGAAGGGUGCAAGCGUUACUCGGAAUUACUGGGCGUAAAGCGUGCGUAGGUGGUUCGUUAAGUCUGAUGUGAAAGCCCUGGGCUCAACCUGGGAAUGGCAUUGGAAACUGGCGACCUAGAGUGCGGUAGAGGGUAGUGGAAUUCCCGGUGUAGCGGUGAAAUGCGUAGAUAUCGGGAGGAACAUCAGUGGCGAAGGCGACUGCCUGGCCCAACACUGACGCUGAGGUGCGAAAGCGUGGGUAGCAAACAGG
rnacentral:rRNA from 1 species